ACAUACUGUGACCUAUCCUCCCUCAUUGCAGCGAUGAACAGAUAAGAGAUGCGAGCGAGGGUGACUGUAGCAAAUACCGAUGGAUAGAACUGAGAAUAUACAGAACAUCUUAAUUUAGAAUUCCUCAUGUUUUGUAGUUUAACGUACAUAGGAAUUAAAAUAAAACCUGUCCGUUCAACGAGGGGAUUGUACGAAACAGAAGGGUUUGUGUGACGUUAGAUGACUAGCUAACGUUGGGCAACGUUAAUCAAAUCAGUUUUACUGAUUUUCUAACCGACGUCGCCGAUAGUACGAAGUGCGCAUAUCGUCAUCCAACCCGGUCUUCCUCAUUGACGCAGUCCGAAGAGUGUACUGGUUCGGAGAAUGCUAAAGAAUGAGUCAAAGGGAUACCCUGGUUCAUUUGUUUGCCGGAGGGUGUGGGGGAACAGUGGGUGCUAUUCUGACUUGUCCACUGGAAGUGGUAAAGACCAGACUACAGUCCUCUCAUGUCACCUUCUACAUCUCUGAGGUGCAGCUCAGCACCGUCAAUGGGGCCAGUGUGGCCCGCAUGGCCCCCCCGGGACCCCUCCACUGCCUCAAGUUGAUACUGGAGAAAGAGGGACCGCGCUCGCUGUUCAGAGGCCUUGGGCCCAACCUGGUGGGUGUGGCUCCUUCCAGAGCCAUCUACUUUGCAUCCUACUCCACUGCCAAAGAGAAGCUGAACGGCGUGUUUGAGCCCGACUCGACGCAGGUCCAUAUGGUGUCUGCAGGCCUAGCAGGUAACAGUUGUUCCACAAACUCCUCCUCUGCUGUCUAUAGCCUGCUUGUCAUUGCAGUUUCUACUGCUUGUUGCUACAUUCAAAGUUGACUUGUUUAGACAAUUCAUUUCCAGCUACUUAUUUUAUUUUGACUGUUUACAUAGAAAAGGGGAUAUGUUAAGUAUUUAUUCAAAGAUAUUUAGUUUUUGUUUUUUAAAGUAACUGGCCAUAUUUGUUUAUUUGAUUAAAUGUUUGUUUUGUACAUUUGUAUCUUGCGUUAUGGGGUUUCCUGUUAAUUUGAAGAUAAUUCAAUAUUUGAUUAACAUUGCUCUAGCCUCUAUCCAGCUAGGUGUUAGACAUUGCCACUAUAUGGGUUGCCUUGUGGACGUUUUCCAGUGUUUUGAAUAUCAACCACAGAUGGUUUGCCCGAAAGCACAAUUGAAGACUUUCAGGAUCAGUCUCUAGUAUAAACCCUACUUUAUAUCUAUAGUGAAAGCACAAUUGAAGUCUUUCAGGAUCAGUCUCUAGUAUAAACCCUACUUUAUAUCUAUAGUGAAAGCACAAUUGAAGUCUUUCAGGAUCAGUCUCUAGUAUAAACCCUACUUUAUAUCUAUAGUGAAAGUGAAGAGGUUAUUCUGCCCUUCAAUAUUGUAGUUCUUAAGUUGUAUGUGAAAAAAAUAAUCUGUGUUCUCUGUCAAAGCACUUAGUAAGAAAAGAUGUAAAGAAGUGUGAAAAAGACAAAGCACAGAGUUAACACUGUCAGUUACAUUUUCUACUACUUCCACUCAUAUAGUGAACUGCUCUUGUGAUUUCACACGGCAAAUAGCCCCACUGACCCACAUUACUGCCUCUGUCCUACAAUUAUAUACAGCCAACUUGGCAGAGGCCCAACGCUUUACUACAUACAACUACAAGACUUACCACUAGCUAGCUGUCUGUUCCAGCAAUACAAUAAAAAACAUCCUCAAAGUUUGGGUUGUGCUUUCCAUCCCACUCCCACUUUCCCCACUUUUUUCUCUUGAGGCUCUUCGACUCUCUUGAAGGACCCUAAAUUGUGUUAACGUACCAGUUUGUUGCUAAACAGUGAGUUUGGCCCUUCAAGCGCUGUCUAUGCUGUGUGUGUACAGUAGUAAAGGCCCCAGGGUGCUAACAUGUCAGGGCCCUCACUGCGGGAGCCCCCGCCUCGCGGCGACACACCGGCCGGACGCCUCAGGUAGCACUCCAUUUCCUUUCACUGGUAUGACCAUGAUGAUGAUGAUGCUAUUGAUGCUAAUAAUGAUGAUGCUGGUUAUAAGUCACUAGCUGGUUUGCAGCUCUUUCAUCUCCUUUAACUUCUACAUGAUUGCACAGUCUUGAUACACUGUACCCCUUCCCCCUUUUUUUACCAGCCUGUUUACCCCCCCACCCACCCCCACUGAAGGUACAUGAACAAUAUGCAUUUUUAGAUGUUUCUUAGUCGGCAUAUGAAGUGAAAUGCUAACCUUGUCACUAUUAGGUUUGAGGGUCCUUAUUUGGUUCAUCGUCAUUUACUCUUGAACCGCUGACACCACAGAUGUAGGUUAUUUAAGUUCAGCGAUGUACGUCUGCCCUCAUCUGAUGACAAUACUGUGCUGUAGAUAUCACUCAUGUAACAUACGUAUGUCUAUAUACAGGAUAUAGGCUAUCGGUGACAACCUAGUUCCAGACACUAGAAAAUCCCUAUCGGAUUAUGGCACUCCCAAAAUGAUGUGAAACACCUGAAUCCUUUCCCUCAGUUACACAUGCAGAUAUAGAAUAAUUACCCAAAGAUGCUUUUUAGUCAGCAUUUUUUAAAUUUAAAUUUGAUAUAGUGCCAGUUCUCCAAGUACAAAUUAUAGAAACAUGCUUACUGACUUUUUCAAUUACAGAUGUAGAAUGAAUAGACCAUUUUAAUUUAGACAACAUACAUUGAGUAUUCAAAACAUUAGGAACACCUGCUCUUUCAAUGACCGACUGACCAGGUGAUUCCAGGUGAAAGCUUUGAUCCCUUAAUUAUGUCACUUGUUAAAUCCACUUCAGUCAGUGUAGAUGAAGGGAGGAGACAGGUUAAAGAAGGAUUUUUAAGCCUCCAGACAAAGACAUUGAUUGUGUAUGUGUGCCAUUCAGAGGGAGAAUGGGCAAGACAAAGGAUUGAAGUGCCUUUGGACGGGUUAUGGUGGUAGGUGCCAGGCUGCAACACUGCUGGGUUUUUCACGCUCAACAGUUUCCCGUGUGUAUCAAGAAUGGUCCAUCACCAAAGGACAUCCAGCCAACUUGGAACAACUGUGCAAUGCUUUCGACAUCUUGUAAAGUCCAUGCCCUGACGAAUUGAGGCUGUUCUGAGGGCAAAAGGGGGGAGUGCAACUCGAUAUUAGGAAGGUGUUCCUAGUGUUUGGUAUACUUGGUGUUGAUUCAUAAUCAUACCCACUACUGGCCUAUAAUCAUGCCCAUUUUGCAUAGUCAUUCAACUCCCUGAACCCUCUCUCUAGGAGUUGAGGAGUGGAGCUAAGAAAUGUUCUCCAGCUGCACAUCUAAACCAUUUUCCCUAGUAAAUGUAACACAUGAGUAUGAGUUGCCACACAUACUCAUGCCUUCUCUUGAAUUCAACACAACCACAGUUUGCUCAGGGCCUAGUGUCUAUUCCUGUCGAUAGACCUCCUGUAUAGACUUGCUAGUUCAUGUGGUUAAUUUACGCUGGAUCAGGAACCCAUAGUAUGUCAAGAGCCUUGAACUACGUUGUGGACUCUGACACCCUCGCAUAAUAUGUGAUCCUCUUUGUGUGUGCACAGAUAUCACAUCUAUCAUAUAUUUUAAUAGAGGGCCCCAUUCAGCCUAAAGCACACUGCAUUAUAGCAGAUGAAUGUAGUGCUGUGCUGUAAUAACACUGGAACUAGGUCACGCCAUUGAAUUAGUUUAGAUAUGAAACGGCUGACACUCCAGUAAUAUGUUUCAUUUGGGGGAAAGGUUCUAUGUAUUUGAGACAUCUGGCCUCCACACAGUCCUUUGUCCAACAUAAAAAUGGCAUUAAUGCUUAACUUUUAGAAGUUGUUCAGGCGAUCAGAAACCGAUGGGUGGGUCUUGUUGAAUUGGCGUAUCACAACACUGAUUCCGCUUUGGUCCUCUUGAAUAAUUCAAGAAGGCCAGUCCAUUUAGUUUCCUCAUGGCAGCCAAUGAGGCCUUCAGCUGAGGCUCACACCAUGACGUCGUUCAUACAAUGACUUUCUCUUAAGAUGUAGGCCUACUGUAGGGCUGAGCUCACCUUAUCUGGGAGCUACUAUUGUUCAAAUUACAUUUACUCAAUUCAUUGACUAAUUUAUAGGGUAGAAUUUAAUAUGGCACACUUAACAAAGCUCGUCAUUUUAUAGACUUAAGUCUGCUUGACAAGGUUAGCAUUUCAACCCUCUGGCAUUAUUUGACCUUUUUUUUUUUAUUGUGACUAUUUCAUUGUUGACUUUGUCCCCCAUUUUAUUUGACCCCAUCGUUACUGUUAAGAAUCAAUAAAGGUGACUGUGGUAAUGAUGCCAUUGGUUGACAAUGAUUGGCACCUGUAGCAUCGUUGAAAUAUAUUUUAUUAUUGUGUACCACACAUGUUUAUUUGUUUUGUCCUGCACAUAAUGAAUAUACCGGUGGGGUGAUGUUCAUUUACGACAGAUUUGCAUGUUUCUUCCCUUACCAAGAACAACAUACAGUACCUGACAAAACGUAGGGGAGGGAAACGACACGAGACGGCCUCUUGCAUUUUAAAACAGGUGUGGGUCGGGUAAGGUCAAGAGUUUGAGGGUUAGAGUGGGGAGGAAGAGAUUCUCUCCCCCCCCCCCCCCCCCCCACACACACACACUCUCACCUUGGUUGGUUUAAAAAAGGGUGGGUAAAAAUGUGGGAGUGGGGAGGAUUCAUAAGUUUAUAUAUAAAAAGGGGGAUUUGGGGAGGCUUAGGGGGAUCUUACCUGUUUAUCAGAUUGGGGAAGAUGGGGGUGAUACCUGUCAUCCUAUUUGACCUGUUAAAAAUACAGGGAUUGGGUAGGAUCGGUAGGUUUCCUCUUCAUCUAUGUAAAUAAAGGGAGUUUGUGGGUGGGUUGGUUGGUUGACUGCUGCCUGUGUGUGACUGUGGUCAUUUUAGGGAUUUACUGUAGCUUUCACCCCUGCGUGAGGGGGGAGAGCCCCCGCCACCUCAGCCCCCCCAUAUCUGCAGGCUUCUAGCUGCAGCUGUGAGGCGGAGUAGCUUUGCCCCUACUCUGGUUCACUGCUAUCACGGCGACCAAUCCCAUCUGGUUGAUCAAGACCCGGUUGCAGCUGGAUGCCAGGAACCGUGGCGAGAGGCGCAUGAAUGCGUUUGAGUGUGUGCGGCGGGUCUACCAGGCGGAGGGCUGGCGGGGCUUCUAUCGGGGUAUGUCUGCCUCGUAUGCCGGCAUCUCCGAGACGGUCAUCCAUUUUGUCAUCUAUGAGAGUAUCAAGCGCAAGUUGAUGGAGUCCAGGGCCCAGGCCAGCAUGGAUCAGGACGAGGACGAGUCGGUGAGGGAUGCCUCAGACUUUGUGGGCAUGAUGCUGGCCGCCGCCACCUCCAAGACCUGUGCCACCUCUCUCGCCUACCCCCACGAGGUGAUCCGCACCCGGCUACGAGAGGAGGGCAGCAAGUACCGCUCCUUCUUCCAGACAUUACUGACAGUACCUAAGGAGGAGGGCUACCGCGCCCUGUACCGUGGUCUCACCACCCAUCUGGUCCGCCAGAUCCCCAACACCGCCAUCAUGAUGUCCACCUACGAGAUGGUGGUCUACAUGCUACAACGCUAGCCCCUCCCCUUCCUGUCUGGAGAGAAAGUAGGAAGUGACUGACUUGGUUGGGCAUGUCUAAGAUGGAGACCAAAGGAAAACUGAUAUGGACCAGAACCAAGAAGAAAGCACAGGAGCCCCCCUACUCUCCAUCCAACAACCUCACACCCUAAUCCUACAGGCUGACCCUCAAGGGGGCUCUGUGGUCUGGGGACAGAGAGAAACAGUUGGGUCAGUCUUUUUAUAGAGCCUGUCAAACAGGAGAUGUCUCUGAAGGAAAGACGGAUAUCAUGUUGUGGCCUUUAAAGAGUUUUAAGUUUGUCGCUGUGUCUUUUGUAGAAUGAAACCAAACUGCUUUAGCCUGUAUUGGAAAUUACAAUCUGAACGGGAAUGCUUGAAAACAAUCGAUCAAAAACUGGUGUCAUAACACUGAACAUUACAUAAAAUUCUCCAGUAGAUGCAUUUGAUUAAAUUAGCGCUUUUUCACUAGGAUUUAGCAUGUAAGCUAAUAUUUGAAACAAGCUAAGCAUGCUCUGUUUCAGUAACUUGAAACCAAGUUUGGUGGAUAUCUUUAUUUUCAACAGAUCAAUUUCUCAAGCAAGAAUUUUGCUAGGACUGUUUGAGUGGGGAGGGGAAAGCUAGCUACUAUUGGAAGAGAGGUUUGGAACUCUUUCUUAUUGGUCUAUUAACUGAUUUCAAAGCUCCAUCCCACCUAAACAGGCCGAAAUUUCAGGUCUCUUCAAACAGCUCUUACACUAAAAGGGCAUUAUCAUUUUUACAACUUCACAAUAUUCCAACCUCCAUUGUGUAUAAAACACAGUAAAAUAAUGUUUGACUGCACUGGGCCUUUAAAACCUUGUAACAAUAAAGCAAACACCAACCUAGUGUCUUAAUAGGGCGUUGGGCCACUACAAGCAACCAAAACUGCUUCAAUGUGCUUUGGCAUAGAUUCAACAAGUGUCUGGAACUCUAUUGAAGGGAUGCGACACCAUUCUUUCAGGAGAAAUUCCAUAAUUUGGUGUUUUGUUGAUAGUGGUGGAAAAUGUGGUCUCGGGCGUCGUUCCAAGUCUUCAAUCAGGUUGAGAUCUGGUGACUAACCCCUCUAUUUUCCUAUGAAACCCCUCUUUUGAAGUCCCUGAGAAAAAACGGGGCAUUUUUAUACAUGACCCUAAGCAUGAUGGGAUGUUAAUUGCUUAAUUAACUCAAGAACCACACCUGUGUGGAUGCACCUGCUUUCAAUAUACUUUGUAUCCAUCAUUUACGCAAGUGUUUUCUUUAUUUUGGCAGUUGCCUGUAUAUCAAAAGAAAAUAGCAAGCAAACCAUACAUGCACUACAAGGAGUUGGUCUUCAAGCAUUCCCCUGAAGGUCCCAGUUUCCCGUUAUAGUCUGAAGCAAUGCAUAUGGUGCACUGCUGCACAAGACUAGUGAUCGCCGAUCACAACACAUGCCUCACACUUAACCAGUGGUUUAUUUGUUUUGAAAGCUGACUAUCAUUUCAGUGUUUUUGUAUAAUGGUAUUGUUUCUCUGAUACUAGUCAUUGUGAAGGACCUAGUUGUCUCAUGAAUAAACUAGACUUCACUGCCCUAGAAGGGUACCAACAUUUAGCAGGUUAGAGAUCUAUCUAUCGGUGUGAUGCCGCUACUUGAUGAUAAUUUAGGUGUUGAAGCCAGGUUGUGUCAAUGUUUAUUUCAUCACUACUCCCAACCUGAGUGUUUGCAAGACUCUGACUGUGACCAUAAGUGCGUGCGAGAGAAAGUGUGUGUGUUGAUGUGCAUUUGACUCCGUUUGUGUAUGUUUGUGGGUUGAGAGCGAACAUCCCUGAUAUCUGGUAGAGUUCCCCCCACUAAAAGUGAAUCAUGUAUACUGAACAAAAAUAUAAAUGCAACUGAUUUUACUGAGUUACAAUUCAUAUAAGGAAAUCAGUCAAUUGAAAAAAAUGUAUGAGGCCCUAAUCUAUGGAUUUCACAUGACUGGAAAUACACAUACCUUAUUAAAAGAAGUGGUCCUCGCAAUGGGCCUCAGAAUCUUGUCACAUUAUUUCUGUGCAUUCAAAUGUUCAUUGAUCAAAUGCAAUUGUGUUCGUUGACAUCAGCAAACCGCUCACCCACACACGUGGUCUGCGGUUGUCAGGCUGAUUGGACAUGCUGCUAAAUUCUCUGAUGGAGGUGGUUUAUGGUAGAGAAAUUAACAUUCAAUUAUCUGGCAAAAGGCCAAUUGGACACUCCCUCAAAAUCUGAGACAUCUGUGGCAUUGUGUUUGACAAAACUGCAUAUUUUAGAGAGGCCUUUUAUUGUCCCCAGCAAAAGAUGCACCUGUGUAAUGAUCAUGCUGUUUAAUCAGCUUCUAGAUAUGCCACACCUGUCAGGUGGAUAGAUUAUCUUGGCUAAGGAGAAAUGCUCAUUAACAGGGAUGUAAACACAUUUGUGCACAACAUUCUAGAGAAAUAAGCUUUUUCUGUAUGUAAAAUUUCUGUGAUCUUUUAUUUCACCUAAUGAAACAUGGGACCAACACUUUACAAGUUAUAUUUUUGUUCAGUGUAGAUCAUUAAGGUUAGGAGCAAGGCCGAGCUACUGUACAUUUGUGGUCCAUCCCAGCUCCUACACCCGAGCCCUGCCUUACCAGUGGCUUCCAACUCAACAUUUAUGACCUUUUGGGUCUUGUGCUUAACAUUCUUGUGUGUGUGUGGGACAUUUUAAUCUUGUAUUAUAAGAAUAGUGUUACUGUUUAUGCAAAAACUGUAUUUUGCUCAACAGUUCCCAUUGCAGAUAUUGUACAGUUGAGUACUUAAUCUUGCAAAGGAUUUUCAUUUGUGUGUGUUGAUAUAGUACAUGUUUAUGCAUAGCAACUUUUGUGUAUAUUUUGCUUCGAUCCAUGUAUUAUACUGCAGUUCUGUUGCAAAUGAUUUAUUUUGUUUGUGUACUAUUAUCAAUAUAUUUUAACCUGUUGCAACAUGGUGUGUUGACAUUUUUAUUUUGUUAAAGUUGUAUAUUAUAAUAUUGUAUUUAAUUUUACAUCAUGUAAGGCUUGAUGCUGAAAGAUGGUCUUUAAUUUUAUGGCAUUCAUAAAAUAAUUGGAUUUGGUGUAAAAUACUUAAUUUUUUGUUUUGUUUUUACCCCGUUUGCUAUCCAUAGUAACCUCCAUAUCUAAGUGUGUAGACUGCUACAACAUCCUAUCAGCUCUUAACAUUAUAGUCAUUUAGUAGACACUCUUAUCCAGAGCGGUUUUACAGGAGCAAUGAGGGUUAAGUGCCUUUGUUCCAAAUUCUCAAUCUGGCAUUUCAAUUGUAGUGUCAAUAUGACAAGAUUGUUUUGGCGUUCAAGUUGCCCUGAAGUAGUUUUAAACUGAUUCUGGAUUCCUGAUUUAAAUACUUUUCGGCAGUGCAGAGGCUACAUGGGAUUAUGAUGCGUAUAAUUUAGAUGGAUAUAAAUAUCCUUCUGUACAUGGAAGCUUUCAAGCACAGUGUCUUUAUCUACAAUAGUUGCUCAUUUUCUCAUGCCAAUUUCAACUAGUUUCCUUUCCACUGAAAUACUGUAUUAAAACUGCAAUGUGAAGGAACAUACUGGAGUCCUUUUCCCACAGACUACAGCGUAGGUGUAAUCGUUACUGUCAGUGCCCUGAUAGUCAUACUGACUUGAAUAACUAGUGUACAAAGGAAUAUCAUUUUCACAAACCAACAACAGUUCCAUGAACAAUCAACUGUGAUGUAUUUUGUUGUAGAGCAUAGGCUUGCAUAUAAAUGACUGUCCUGUUCUGCUUUCAAUUCAAGACUCUGUUGUAUUGGAAAUAAAACACACUAUACAGGUCAUCAGA